ACACUCCUACGGGAGGCAGCAGUGGGGAAUAUUGGACAAUGGGCGCAAGCCUGAUCCAGCCAUGCCGCGUGAGUGAUGAAGGCCCUAGGGUUGUAAAGCUCUUUCACCGGUGAAGAUAAUGACGGUAACCGGAGAAGAAGCCCCGGCUAACUUCGUGCCAGCAGCCGCGGUAAUACGAAGGGGGCUAGCGUUGUUCGGAUUUACUGGGCGUAAAGCGCACGUAGGCGGAUUAUUAAGUCAGGGGUGAAAUCCCGGGGCUCAACCCCGGAACUGCCUUUGAUACUGGUAGUCUUGAGUUCGAGAGAGGUGAGUGGAAUUCCGAGUGUAGAGGUGAAAUUCGUAGAUAUUCGGAGGAACACCAGUGGCGAAGGCGGCUCACUGGCUCGAUACUGACGCUGAGGUGCGAAAGCGUGGGGAGCAAACAGGAUUAGAAACCCCUGUAGUCCC
rnacentral:rRNA from 1 species